AGGCUUGUAGCUCAAUUGGUAGAGCAGUGGACUCCAAAUCCAAAGGUUGCCUUCCAAGCCUG
rnacentral:tRNA from 1 species